AUCUAAAUUAUCACCUUGAGUACCCCUGAAUUCCGUCCACGAUUUAAGAGCAGUUAAGCCAGCAACUCUUUUAGACGACUGUGAUGUAGACGAAGUAGGGGUUGGAAUAUUAGGCCUAGCAUGCUCUAACGCCUGUUUAUAAGCAAUAUAAACAGUUUGAGCAUUUACUCUAAUUGAUGCUUUCGCAUCAGCUAGUGUAGCAAUUUCUACUUCUGAAAGAUCUAAAGAUUGAUAAAUAGUAGAAUACCAAAAGUGAGGACCUC
rnacentral:lncRNA from 1 species